ensembl:lncRNA
AGUUAGAGGCAUUUUAUUAGAAGUAUCAAACGUUGAAGUGUCCUCAGAGAACUAUGUGAAAUUCUCAAAGCCAGUAAAAUAUAAAUCAUCAGAAGCAAUAGAUAUAUCAGUUACUGAGCUCUGCACUCACAUAAAAGUCCAUGCUGGGAAAAUCUGUGAAGUAAAAAUGUCACUACCUGUCUAUACUGGCAGGCUUUCUGGCGGCAUCCUUAAAGUCUCCCCAAGGCUUCAUCCACCAAAUAAUUUGGAUCCAAGCAUCACGACAAACACACACACACACACACACACAGAAGCUACUGUACCCUAGUUUCCUUGACAUAGUGUCUUAUCUCAUAAAGGCCUCCCAGAACGCAGGGUAUACUGCAUUUCCGUAAGAAGGAAAGAAAAUGAAAACACUAUAUUGGAAUCAAAAUGAUAAUUCCCAAGGUGAUCAUUGACAGCACAGAAAUUUGCCAAAUGAUUGAGAUGGAAAAUAGGCCCUGCUCCACUCCCCUCUUUGGUUAUCUUAUGUUAUCUACAGACGUGACACUUUAGUGUUUACGAGAAUUUCUCUUCUUCGUCAUGUUUCUAAUUAGAAAAAACGGUAAUUUGGUUUAGAUAUGCAAUUCAUCAGUUGUGAGAUCUAAAUGCAAAGAAUUGUAUGCUUGUAGUAUGUAAUGCAAGCCGAAGGUAAUCAUUGAGAAUCAGAAAUAGGGGACUAAAAUGAGUUUAUAUGCUACGGAUGUAAGGUGACAGUGCAGUGAAGUCAUCUUCCAAGGCUGAACAAAUUGUAAACAAUAGCUCCAGGUCAAUAAUUUUGUAUUUAAUAACUUUACACAUCAAGUUUCACCAUACAAUGCCUUGAAUCAAGUUUUUUAUUCCAAGAAUUAAGGGAAAUGUCCAACACUUUUAUUGCAGUAUUGGAAAACUUGAUGGAAACUGGUAGUUAAUUGUCAUGGUUUGUAUAGCAGAUUAAGCAUUUCCUUCAGACAGACAGUGGGUCUACAUUCUUAACAUUUCACCAUGGGAACUUGUCAAAGUGUAUCUGAAUAUAGAAAAUAUGGCCCACAAUACUUGAAUUUCACUAUGAAAAUCUGCUGCUAAGUCUGUCAAGUAAUCACACUUCUACACACUCAACCUUGUUCAUAACGUCUCCCAUCAGUUGUACACAUCUAAAUAAAUCUGUACAUAUCACAUAUAUUUUAUACAUAGACAUUUGUCCUGACCUGCAGAACUAAUAUGCCGAUUCUAGUUCUGAUUACCUAAUGAAUAUUACUUCACGUAACCCUUUAGCAGAGCGGACGGUUUCUGAUAGCCUUGAGUUGAUGAAUACAUUUUUUUUCCUAGAGUAACCGAUGAAAUAGAUUUUCUUUCCCGCCUUUCUAUUAGAUGGUAAAGAAAGAGUAAUUGAAGCCAAUAUGUAGCCAUAGGAUCAGGGGAAAAGGAUCAAGCACAUCCUCCUUUUGACCCAGUUAUCGGUCGACCUGGUCUCCCUCCAACUGAAUCAUUACGUCUGCGGUGUGAUCCCAACCGAGCGCCACCACUCUCCAUUACCCACAGGUGUCUUCAAGUCACUUCUGACUUUGCUCAGUCUGCCUGUAGCUCCCUUGAUAUAUUAUGGGAUGGUAAUUGGAUGGGGAGUAGCCACGAGUCAGAGUGGCCGGAACAUGAAUCAAGUUGGACGGCGCAUAUGUUUGUACCAGGUGACACAUACGAUGUCGUCGCUCUUGGAGAACAUAGCAAUGGUUCUUCAUUUUGAUGGGUAACGACAGCAGUUAAAAUUGUACUGUGAUGCUGUCAUAAGGGCUAUUUUGAUUUCCUGUGCGUCAACUUUUUUUUCUAAUAGUUUUGGUACAGAUAAAAAAAACUGCUAAUGGUCUGAUUUUUAUUAGCCCAGUUUAUGGAAUGAGGAAAUCAUUUUCUAAAGGUUUUAAUUGGGUCAGGCCUUUCUUUUAAAGGUUGUGGAAUCUAAAUUGUUAUUUUUACCAAUACAGCAAUGUCUUUUACACCCCAAACUAUAAGGAAAGACGUCCAGCAACGCAACUAUCACACAAGUAAGUAAAGAUCUUAACAUCCAGGUUUCCAUUUGAAAAAACAAAAAUGCUUCAGAGUAAGAGAAAAGUGAAAACUGAUUUGAUCCCGCUUAAAGGCUUUUGUCAUAAUAUUUGGAUUCAGAGGUGCAUUGCACGGUGCUUGCUGCAUCCAGUCCCAAGCCUUUGGUUAGUCUACCAGUUGCUUGGAUUGGAUCAAUUAUGCCUUUGUGGGACGUGAGGGGUUGUUCGGCCUUGGAGGUUCCCUUAGUCAGCACAUGGCUCCUUAGAUAUAAUAUCCUGUUUCCACAGUGUGUGCUGCCAGUUAUUUGUUGUAUUUCCCCUGGCUCUUCACGCAAUAUGCUGUUCAGAUGAUGUGUGUGUGUGCAGGGAAGGACUGUUUGCUUAUUUGAAAUAAACAGCAUAAUACUUCAUGUCAUUAGAGACUAAUGCUAUGGGGAUCUUUAAUGAUACAAUGGUAAGUCUUCACUCUUAAAAUAUUAAACAAAGCCAAUCUUGUCUUUUUUUGGGAAGGGACAAGGGACUAUUUUAGGGGGAGAUGGCAGGCAUACGCUGUGUUAUACAUCAUCUGAAAGCUGAAAACCUGAAAUUAAUUUGAGAAGCAGCUCAGCCGUCUGUAUCAUGUUGCUAAAGUUAUGAAUCAGGAAUUCAAAUUGAUUCAUUUAGAUGGAUUUUAAAACGGUAAAAGGACUGAACAUUAUGAUAAAAGUGGUUGACGUCCAUUACAAUUCUCUAGUAUGUGUCAUAAAUUAUUAGAAUAAUUCUUGGGGUAAUACGAUUCUUCAUACAAUUUUAGUGCUAAAGUCUUUAUUAAUCAAGAACUAAUCAAUAUGAUGUAAUUAUAUAAUAAUAAUAGGAAAUUCAACAUUUUUCAGAAGUACAUUUUUGAGAGUUUCUAGAACUUCUAAAUGUUCUGUUCUGCUCAAAAACUCCUUCAUUACCCACAAAUGGCUACUAUGGUGACUCAUCACUGGACUUGUUUGUAAGAGUCUCACUUUUCAUAUUCAAAUACACCAUUUUCAAACAUGCCACUGACAAAAUCUGCAUGGGAUUAACAUUAAUCUGUGUAUGGGGGACGUGUGUGUACAUAGAACCAAUCUACAUUGACAGUACAUAUAUUGAGGUGAGAGGUCAAGAGACCCUGAGCGUUAUUCAUCCGAGACUUGCAGCCUUGCAAUUGAAAAGGGAACAUAACAUUCCCGUGCGACCAUUAACCAUACAGUUUUAUCAGGAGCCAAGAAUCUCAAUGUCAGCCCCCCCACCCCCUCCUGUAAUAAUUUCUGAAGUGUGGAAAUGGAAACACAUGAUCAUUUUGUAAUGUUUUGAAAUGCCAUAAUUUUGACUCAUUAACCCAUCACACUUAAUUUGCACUGACAGCCACAUUGUGCUUGGAGGGAGAGAUCUACCCCGUUCAUUGCGUAAUCAUUUCGUUCUAUGCUUUGCAAGCAGUCUGACAUGCCUCCCCAUCAAGGCCCACAGACACCUCCAUCCUCAUGCUCUGCUUUUUUGCUUUGAUGUACGUAGAUCUGUCACCGGCAGCAUUGGUGUGCAGAGUAGAUAGACCUGAUAUUUACUAUUACUUACAGUGUUUCACAGGAUAUUCUUUUGAAUUAUUAAAAAAAAUGUUUUUUGUGGAGGAUAAAUGAGGCUUACGCAUAAUAGACGCAUCGGCAGUGUUUUAUUACUGUUAGAUGCAGAUUAUAUUUUAUUCAUCAGAAAGCGUAACCCUUACAUGAAAAACAUUCAGAUAUUUGAAUUCAUAGUUAAUAAAGGUAACUGACACUAUAAUGCUCAUCAUAUAACAAACCACAAGCUUCUGGUAGAGCUUCCUAAAAAUGUCAUAAAAAACGUCAGACUGAAUCACAAUGCACCUACACACCAAAUCAAAACAUCAGAGAAACGGCAAAUAACUAAGAGGAAUAAAUACCCUCAGGCUGUGUUAACUUAUCGAUGCAUUAUCUGUGGCUGUUUUUACAAAUUGUUACUCAAUAAAUCAUGUAAAGAAAAAAUACCAAUCAAAGUCAAUUAGAACAAAGUGGAAUACAUCAUUUUAACAUUAAAAGCCUUAAUCGAUGAUCAGAAAAGCAACAGACAUUGCGAACAUCACCUGAGAAUUAAUUGCCAAGGACUAAAAUGACCUUUAACAUUCUUUUGUGAUGCCAGCAAGUGCACCGUUGCUUGUUUAAUCCAAUCCGCAAUACAAAUGUUCUUAAAAAAAAAAAGCUGCAGAUCAAUCGGCUGUUACUUCAUGUCAGGUAUAAAUGGAGCGUGAGCAAUGGAGGGAGCAGUGUGCUGGCAUUGUUCCAACAGGGGACCUGCAAACAGAAGGGAAGCAGGCCUUGCCAGGUAUGGAUGCAGCAACAAUGGCAACACCUUGACAUGAGUUGGUGAUACAGAGCUCAAACUACGCAGUUAGGAAUAUUCCAUUUUGGUUGCUGCUCAGCCAGGCAGGUGGAGCGGAAGCCUUAAAAAAAAAAAGUGUAUUUGUAUGUUCCAGCUGAAAUGAAGGUAUAUGGUACAUGUGUAAAUAAUUGAGAGUGUCCGUGAAACCUGGAAUGGGAACCCUUGAACCGGCACCGGUUUGGCAUUGUUGCCUAGCAAUAAUAGUAGCAUUAGAAACUGUAUAAAAAUAUCUGUGACCCUGAAGUCUGAAGCAUUUCUAGUGAGACAAGCUCUAAUUUUAUUAUCCUGAAAUUGCAAGGUUGAAAAACAUUGAUGGACUUACGCUACAAUAUGAUUUCAUAAGUUUGCAAAGCAGAUAGAGAAGGAGAUCCCUCCUCAAUAGAUGCCAUUAUAGAUCCUAGAGAAAUAUGUCUAAAGCUCAAAAAGCUUCUCAAAAUGUGUCGCUUUCAAAAGGUUGAGGUGCAAGUAGCCUUUCCAAUGUCUUACACCUCCUCAGCAGCAAAACAAAAAAACCCUGCCUUGUAUUUAAGCCUUUAAAGGUCGACUUGAGUGGCGCAGAAAGGCUACUGACUGUAGAACUGGCGCAAUGAUUAAGAUGAUCGAUCAUAGUGUGAAUGUCAUUCUAAUGUAAACGCAGCACCGUGCACCAUAUCGCAGUGUUUGACUCCUUCACCGCUUUCGGUUCGCAGUGAUUCAACCAUGAGGGGGGUUUCGAAUGAUUUUUAGUCCUCGAUACUAAUGACAGAAUGAGCUCUCGGAUAAAGCCACCGCCUUUUGAAAUACACAGACAGCGUACUCCCACUCACUCCGCUCCCAGACGCUCUGCUCUGCAGAAAAUAUCUCCUGCCCCGCGCUGCCAGCUUGAACUGCGCCCAUUGGCUGUCUGUCUUUGCCAUAGCGAGAGGACUACAGAUAGACAUUGAGGCUCCUUCCUGCCUCAGGCAGUCCUGUUACUAAACUACACAGGACGACAACAAAAACCCAUGCCCCUGAAUCGAGAGACAACCAGUGCCCGCCUAUAAGUAGCAGCUGAAUAAAUGUACCUACACUUACGACCUGAGCCUUUGCAUGAUUGCAGUUCAGUUGCUGUGAAGCACUGUGACCUAAAUCAGCUCCCCAGAUAGGAUGUAAAGAUAGAACAUGUAUUGAAUUGAAGUACACGAAAGUUAACAGAGCUUGAAGUGAACUGAGACGAACCAAGCCAGAGUAAGCUGAAUAGAGUUGAUGGUUUGGAAUGGGAUGAAAUGUUAUUACAAAAUAGCUGAAUUAGAUUUGAGGCGAGGGCUUGGUGAGAAGGAGAAAUGAAGAGCUUCACUGCACCUUUUACAGUUCUCGGUACUGUUUAUAGUGAAGUGAAAAUAUAGUCGGUUUCUUCUUUCGGGUUACUGCGGAAAAAACCUGCAGCAGCACAAGGAUCCAUGACAGUUUGGUGACGCGCUGCAGUUCUUGGCAGAAAGGAACCUGUAGUCUGUUUCUAUAUGGUCUUGCGGCAAAGCAAAUAAGCAUAUACAUAUAUGUGCAUAUAAUUUAUCCUCAAGCUCAAACGUCUAAACAACUAUCGGAUGGAUUGCAAGAAAACUUAGAUGAAGGCCCUUGUUUUCUUUCCGGCACAAUGAGGUUGAUGUUUUUGUUUCAGAGGGAUUGCCAUGUGACUUGCUGAAAUCACACGGUACCCAGAGGAUACAUCCUAAAAGCUUUGGCAAUUGUCUCACCAGUGGGGUGAAGAUUUUACGUAUCCUGUGAAUUAUCAUAGCAUUGACCAGAUGCAUUACCACAAAAUGUUGCACAGACGGUCAUAUAUUAUUCCAUAUUUGUUGGUUGUGAGGGAAACGUCUUUCGGUUAAGGAAGCUUGAUCAUCAAACUAUCAAAACAAUCUCACUGAUAAAAAUGGCUUCGUUAGGAAAAACAGAUUAACAGUGGGCGUAGUGUUUUGCACACUGAUUGUUGAGGUGAAAUGUGUCCACGUUGGAUGGAUUACGGCUAAAUUAGGCACACACAUUGUAGCAGCGUGCUAUCCCUCCCUAAUGUUGCCCUUAGGAUGAAUCGCAGUCACCUUGCUGAACCCUCUGGCCUUUUGGUUGUGCCAGCCUUUGGUGAAAAGGUUUUUGUUUCUUUUGACUGCAUGUCCUAAUAAUUAAACCUAUUCCCAUCAGCCGUACAUGUAUUUUGUGUUAAAGCCUAAUUAGUGAAACUCAGCAUGCAACACUCUGAACUACGAUAGUAAGCGUGGCCAAGGUUGGACCUGCUUAAAAUAAGCAUGUUUGCAUUGUUAUUGUGAGCACGUUUGCAUGCUGAGCAUUGCAUGAGCAUUUGCAUGCUCAUAUCAGCAGCACAGCUGUGCCUAAAUACGGCAUCACAGAGCAGCUAGCAUGGCUGUAGACUCUCGUAUUGUUAUAGAAAGAAGGAACGUCUGAUUUUAAAAAGGCAAGGUAGGUUGUAGGUUUUCAAACUGUUUGGUAGUUUUUGCACCUAUUAACCUGGUACAUCUUUUAUCUUACAUUUUAAGUCACAGCACUGCACUAGCGAUGCACAUUCACACCAUAUUUAGAAAAAUCAACAAUUUUUCCUGUUUUUUUCUCAUUAUUAAACUUAAUACUGAUGUUGUGUGUAGAGAAAAGAGAGAGCCCAGGGCAUGAAAAGGGCAAGGCAGGGUGGGUUUGUUUUCCCCUCUGUGUAAUAAAGGUUCAGAAUCAUAAUAUCAAGAUGUGCUCUGAUUAGGAAGAUUGUCGACCUGGCUUUUUGACUACAAUUAUCAACUACCAAAUAUUAAAUACCAGAUACUGGUUUAUGUGAAGCAGUUAAGUCUGUUUGUUCUCUGUGAUCUAGUUACUAGUUUUGUCUUUGCCAUAAAAACUGGCCUAAAGUUCUGGCAUCCUUAUUUCACGAUUUAUGCAUAAGCAUGAUUGGUACAUUUGGACAUUAACUGACAGGAACUGAAUCCAACAUCUGAUUUUAGGUAAAGCUUUAACCAAUGACUAAUUAUUAUGGGGACUGUAACUCACCGGCUGAUAAAUAUGUGCAAGAAUGUGACCUUUUGCAGAUAUAAUUGUCUCUCACCAGAUAAUAUAAUUGGCUGUGCUGAAUACCAUGGGGAGAACAAUUAAGGAUAACAAGCAAAUAUUCUUUGUCCUUAAACAGUAAUGCGAAGGAGUUGAAAAUAGAUGAUUCAGAGCUGUUUAUGCAGGCUUUUACUGCAACUUAACAUGGCAGGCGUACCAUCACAAUACCUACACAUUCACAGUGGAUGUACACUUUGCUGAUUACAAGCCAUUCCUGUAAAAUAGAUUAGACACGCCGUGUGCUGCAGAGGUUAAGCAUGGAGCUACACAUGCAGAAAAUGACAGUGUAAUUACUGGGAUGACUGCAGCAUCCCCGAGACCUGCUUUAGCUCAGUAAGAAGCUGACAACAAACAAGCUCAGCUUCUAAAUAUGACUUGUCGGGCGUUUGUAAGGGAACCUGCAACACACGGCAGAACACGCAAACCAAAAUCAAAAGGAUGUUUUUUAGGACACCGUAAAGGCAUUGAUUUAAAACCCACCUGUGUUUUUUAAAAUCUAUAUGUCUUUACCAACAGAUGAGGAUGGAAAGAGAGCUUUGAACGGUAAAAAUGCUCCACAUCCACAGCGUGUAUCAUUUAUAAGAAAAAUAUCUCUAUUGUUAAUUUAUAGAUGAGUUUUGUCUUCUUUUUCUCCUUGGGAGUUGGUGGAGCCUGUGCAACACUGCUGCUGCUGCAGCGUAUCUGUGCUUGAGGAGUAUGUUUUUUUGUUGUCAGCAGCAUUUUUUUUUUUUACUUCUACAUAAUUCAUAACUCUGUCCCUCACUUUCAUAUAGUUCUACUCAAAUGCAAGUCAACCACUUCCACACAGACACUGAAAUAGUUCUGAGCAUCCUUUUCUUGGCAAGGUAAACCUCCUCACUCACACAGACUGAAAUCUGACUUAGUCCAAGUGUAAUGCUGUGUAGAUUACAUGGAGCUUGUGUUUGCACAGAGAACUGGUGGUUGCAUGUGAUUGUAUGGCCGAGGCUAUAACAAUGUUCCUGGAACAACCUUUGUUAUAACCAACAAUGACAUGUACUGUAUUUUAAUUUCACCCCAUUAAUCCUGAGCCCUCUGAUUCACAUGGCUUCCAACAACAGGCCUAAUCUUUAUUAUAUAUCAUUUUUACACAAUACACAUACAGUAUUAAGAAGAUUCAUACCACUCUCCUGGACAAACUUUUCCCCAGUCCCAUGCUGUACGCUAAACCGAAAGGACUGGCUACUGUUGGUAACUUUAUGAUCCAAGGGACAAACAUGUGAGUUGUAUAAACUCCCUUUUUUAACUUGUGGCAAGAAAGCAACGUGGCACACUUUUCCUUCUUCUUUCAAGAAAUGGGAUAUGAAGAAACAAUUGCGCCAUUCAAAGUGUUGAUGAGCUGAUUUGUUUUUUUUGGUGAUUUGAACUCUGCAUUUGUUUUCUUUCCUUUCUAGUUGAAGGGUUGUUUUGUCUUAUAGGUUCAGUCAUAUUUUAUAAAACCACACCUUUGCAACAGGGAGCCCAUGACUCUCAGCAGCUUUCAGUUGGAAAUACAGACUUUAGGAGGAAGAUUAUCUCAUUUUCUCGUUUAAUAUUGUGCCAUAUGGAACCGCAUUAACGAUAAAGGUCUUGUCCCUCCAAAUGCACUAACUCUGUCAUUCCAUGGGCUCUAUUUCUAGAAUAGGUCAAGUCAUGUUGCCAUUCAUAUUUCAAACAUGCUAAAUGGAAAAAGAUGUUCAUAUGGUUCCGUUGUCCAAAUAGCUGUCCCCUUUCUAAUGAGACAAUAUAUGUGAGAGACCAUUUUCAGCAUCAGAUCUGGAAGACGGCCAUAUCAAUUUCUUGUUGAGCCAUUUAUCUUACCAACAUUGAUGAAUUCAUUAUGCUGACGAUUCCUGUUCCUAUUAUAAAAUGCCACCCGGAGAUGGGCCCCUGGUUGAAAUAGGCAGCAGAGAUAUCUACCCCAAUUAUUGUAAAAUUUUACUCCUUGGUAGAUCUAUCUUUCUUCUGCCGGAUCAUAUUAUUCAGCACACUAUUGUGCCUGCCUCCACCGAAGGUCUCUUUGACUUCUAAAUCAGUUUCAACCCCCCCCUUCAGAAAACCCUUUCCUUUAAUUGGGCCCUUUGAAGGUUCGGAAAAGAAUAGGAGACAUUAAUAAAACCUCAUUAUGGACCAAACCUCCAUCAUAUCGACCAAUCAGACUUUUUAUUAUACUGUAUCAUCAGCUUAAAGUGCUUGGAUUCAUAUACACGAUUUUCAUACUCAAGAGUGUAUUGAUGACAGGCAAGCAACAUUAUAUUAUUAUACAAGUUAAAAUGCUCCCUAACAGGCCCUCUUUUCUAAUUAACCGCGGGUGGGGGAAAAAUAGCCGUCAAUGAGCUUAUUCUUAUUCAAUAUAAUUUAAGAAUAAUGUUGGUUAUGGAACCACGCAGACCACAAGAUGAAUACGCUCAAAGAGUGCAUAAUGGCUCCAAAGUAAAAAAGGUUUCAUUAACAUUAUCGCCUAUUCAGGAAAUGCGCAUACACACAAUCCACUAGACAAAACACUUGCCAAUACUUCAGCCAAGAUGAAAAUAAUAUAGACGGUCUUUGCAUGCUGGUCUCACUCGCCACUGCUGUGGAAGUUUUGAUGGGAUGUGUGUCACUGGAUUAUCUCGCCUACCGUCCCUCCAGGCUCUCGUUGUAGAUCUGUGGCAAUGGGCACAGGCAUUUAGUGGGAUUCCCAAGUGUCACUGGCAGCACAGCAGAAACCCGCAAGGCUCCAGGAAACACAAUCUAUCAUUGUCAUAAGACCAAUCAUCCACAUCAGCAGUGCCUUUCUUUCAGCAGCAACCGUGACAACCAUUAAGCGCUCUCGCUGACCCCGUUCUGGUACAUAUUAUUUCCCUCUUAUCCUUUUUCUCUGUUUCAUAUAAUACAAAUAUCAUCAAACAGUGUAAAAAAAACAAAAACAAAACGUAGGUUUAGUUUUGUGCUGCUGCCAUGUUGAAACCACGGUCAUCGCCUUUAAAUAAAAUUGCUUCUAACCUCAGGGCAGAGUUUAAGUUAAGUGGUAAUUGCCUCCUAGAUUUCAAGUUGGAUUUGGAUUCUUUAUGCUCCAGAUAAAAGUCUAGGUCAUUUGAAAUCACAAUCGUUUGAUCAUCCUACUUUGUUCCUUUCUCUCCAGAUAAAAAACUGUUUGUAUGACAAAGAGCUAUUGGAUAUUGGAACUGCAAUAUUCACCAACUAUUGAGGGGUCAUGCUGUGAUAAACUCUAUGUGACCAGAAUCAUGACAGGAAAUGAAAGUUCUUUUUUUUUGAGGAAAGAACACUGGGGUAAAUCAGGGGCGGAGAGCAGAAUAUCUGACAGUUAUGAACAGUUCAGUGAGCACAAAUGACAAAGGCGAAGCUCAUAAAAUCUCAGCUGAGCAAGCUUUUACAAAACUAUUUACAAUCACUCCACAUUCGUUAUUACUCCGCUCUUUCUGUAGCAUUUUGAUGAAUUAUCUAUAUAUCUUUGUGAAUCAGUGGUUUGUACAUGACAGCCGUAACUUGCUUACCAAAAACCAUACGGUAUCUGACCUUUGCUAUUAUUGAAACAAAUCCUUCUUUGAGGGACACGGUGGCCUUAUCUCUAUGCAAGGCUGCAUGCAUGGAUCUACAGAUUGCAUGGUUCAUGUAGAUCUAAUCUCCAUGUAAAUUGACCCCACUCAAUAAAUGACUACCAGUUUGACAGCAAUAUGAACCUUUUAAAAUGUCUACUUCUCAGGGCUCGCCUCAGCUGUGCGCAUUUAUAACAAAACAAAUGCUCGUCAAGACGUAAAUUGGGGCUUUUCAACAUGUGUUCCUGUUGUGCAGAUCUUGGGGCUCAGAUUGAUCUAAACGUAACAGGGUAAGACUUGCACGACCUGUCUCGCGGGCUGCUGUGUCCAGUUAUUUAAGGUGACAAUGCUCGGCAGAAAAAAAAGUUCUGCUUGGUGUUCAAUUUGAAAUUCACUAGCGACAGGGCCUAGUGAGCCAAGAAGUUAAUUUCAAGCCAUGCUGGCGGUACACAAAUGAAAUGCGGUUUAUUUUGGUCUGUUAAAACGUUUUCAUGAGCCCAUAUUUCCUGCGUGUUUAGAUUUCACUUUACACAGCCCAACCAUAAAAUCCCGAUACAAAAUGUAAAAUUACCGGCCAUUCAAAACAUGCACACUCCAAAUCCCCAUGCGCUGACAGUCGUUAUAAGACAUUCACAGGCGUCAUAGUGCAUUCUGAGCUCUCUGCCCACACUGCUCCCACGUUCCUGCAGCUUGUUAAUGCAGAUUCCAACAAGAAGGCUUUUAUUCUCCGAGUGCAGAUCAUGAAAGAGGACGUUAGCUCAUUCCGUUUGAUGGAGCUUGCCACUUUGGCUUAUCCAGGGAGAUACCACUUCGGCCAAUCCCUGCGCAAAGAUGAGCCCUGGCUCUACACAUCUGGAACAGCUAAUAUGCACCUCUGGAGAGCAGUUCAAUUCAGGGCAUGGAGCCAUGUUUCAGCCGACCUGUGUCAAAACAGCUUACAAGCAGGAUCAUGCGUCAUGUUCUUUGGUUGUCCAAGCAGCAAAUGGACAUUGUCAUUUUAUAUGUCAGUCGUUUUAGGAAUGUAAAGAUCUGUAUCCAGUAUUUUAUUACAGAAACAACGAUGGAAAACAUUUCUUGAUCCCACGACUUCUGGCUUUAUUCUUUGCCCUUUUUUCGAAAAAUAUUUGCAAUAUCAUGAAUAUCAGGAAGCCAAGUGUUUAAUUGUUGUAUACACUACUAACAUUCUCUUGGAUGAAUUCUGCACAUCAAUCAUGAAUGAGCGCAUGGCUGCAGAAGACAGAUGUUUUGCCCCGAGCUGGAGAAUAACUGCCCUUGCGCCGUCCUUUUAAAAAACAUUUGUUGUGAGGGUCUGUGUUGAACAGCCGAGCAAGAAAACAUCCUCCAGCCGAACAGUCAUAAACAGGAUUGAUGUCCAGGACCAAGACGUUUGACUUUAUCCACUCGAGCUUGGGAAGGAUCAUUCAGCUUCAUUGAGCUGUUGUAAGGUUUUGAUGGAAUUGUUUUUUGCCACAAGUUUUUCUUUACCUGUUACAAGUCAUUACCACUGGGUACCACAUUACAGAGGGGAUCACGUGAAAGCUAGUGUUGGUUGCUCUCAGUUAAGAGGUGCCCUCUAGCUAGAGCAAAAGAUUUUAAAAAGUAUGUCUUAUUGGAAUAAAGUUUAAGCUAAGGAAACUCUGAAACUCAGUCCUCCCAAGAAAAAAUCCAAUAAAAUACACAAAAUCAAAAUCCCAUCAAAAAAACAAAACAUGAAUGUGAAUGGUUACAGAAAUAAAAACAAAUCCAUUUUUCAUUCAUUCAACUAAUAUGGAGCAAAUGCAAAAUCCUGGAAAUACUGCAGGUUCAGUCGCUCCAUAUAAUGCCUACGUUAUCCCCAAAGUUACGGCCAGAGUGCCCAUUGAUGUUCAUCUUUUAGAGUGACAUUAAUGCAAUGUUUGUUAUACUGUGCAGUCUCAGUUUGCCGCAUGGAAAAGAGGUUGGGAUAUGAUCCGCAGCGGUAUUAGCUCACAUCCUACACUCAGACA